rnacentral:lncRNA from 1 species
UUUUUUAAAAACAGCAAUUGUUAAACUAAAUGAUUUUUUUCUGUGUCUAGGCAUAUUGUCAAAAACAGUGAAAUCAUGUUCUCUUAAAGAAGGGAUACUCUGCAGAAUAGAGAUUAAUAUAUUUUUCACAGGAUAAAAGAAAUAGUCUGGAAAAUCAUGGUUAAGUUAGCAUGCAGAAACUGAGUCUGUUUUGGUUUUGUUAGCUUCUGGUCUGCGGAGGUCAAGCCAGGGCACAGAUGGCCUAUACCUUUAUUGACUACGUGAAUCACACUCUUGUUAGUACUACUCAAUUUGUGUGAGGAUCUGGGGCUGUAGGUUAGAUGAUAACUCAUCCUUCCCGGAUCCGGCACCAGCCCAGGAGGCUGUGGGAAGGACAGCGCAGCAGAUGCCAACUGGGAAGCCGUGGGGGCCGUGUGGCUCUUGGCUCUAACUCUGUUUAUCUAUGUAUUCUACUGAAGCAGGGGGAAAUGGGGAACAAAGGGCCUUGUUCAAGAUAAUCCAUUAUUAAUGCAACUGGAGAAACGGUUCUUUUAUGUUCUUUAUGAACUGGAUCAGCCUUCUCAAAGCUCCCAUGUCCUUCCUUCCUUGUCUAACCCCGGCCAUACUCAUUCCUAGGCCCACAGCGUUGUGGGUGCUAACCUUUCCAUUCUCAUCCUAGCCAGAACCAGAUUCAUGCUUUCUUUCCUUUCAUCUUCCUGGUUCCUCCUUGUCCUGUUCCCGGCACUGAUCCAUCUUUGUAAGUGGGUGAUGGGAAGGGAGGCAGAUACUACUGUAAGUUAGAAAGGCCCAGGAGCUGGGAGGCCCGAGUAGCCACAGUUACUUCUGAAUUCCAUGUUUGUGGCAAUGGCAUCUGUCUCCUAAGAGUCCUCUUUGUCAUCUUCAACAAUCUAUCCCACUAAACUUCUGAGUGAAAUGAUACCAGCCAAAGGUGCUCGCUUUGUACAUGUUGCUGGUAAGGUCUUUGCCACUUGAUGACGAUGUUAAACUAUAACAGUUUUGCAUGUGAAAUGUGUAUUUUUUUAUUAUUAUAAGAAUAUAUGAUGCUUAUCUUAAAUAUUGUGCUAGAUGAAAUUGUCCAGACACACAGGACAGUUCUUAUAUGAUUCUCAUGUGUGGGAUCCAGCAGGAUCAACUGUGUGGAGAAUUCAGGUCAUUGAGUGGAGCCUGGGUAGCUAGGGGGUGGGAGUUGUUUCUUAACGAGAGUAAAGUUUGUGUCGGGGAAGUGACGAUCGUACAGCGUUCUGAACGUAUUCAACGAACAGUUCUGCACGGAGAGAUGAUUGACAUGGGAAUAAACCAAUAAAAGC